GAUUUCUGGUUCGGCGCACUUGGCCCGUCUCGGUUUACGAGAUUGUGUGCCGGUGUGCGCCAUCCAUCCUUCGAUGAAAACAUUUCUACCCUUCACUGGGUUGGGAGUGCUAUCUCGAUCUUUUACUUUGAAAAAAUUAGAGUGUUUAAAGCAGGCUUGCGCUAUGAAUACAUUAGCAUGGAAUAAUAAUCUAGGACUUCGGUUCUAUUUUGUUGGUUUCUAUAACUGAAGUAAUGAUUGAUAGGGAUAGUUGGGGGUGCUAGUAUUGGCCGGCCAGAGGUGAAAUUCUUGGAUUCGGUCAAGACUAACUUAUGCGAAAGCAUU
rnacentral:rRNA from 1 species